UACGUAGGUGGCAAGCGUUGUCCGGAAUUAUUGGGCGUAAAGCGCAUGUAGGCGGUUCCUUAAGUCGGUCGUGAAAAUGCGGUGCUUAACGCCGUAUGGCGAUCGAAACUGGGGGACUUGAGUGCAGGAGAGGAAAGGGGAACUCCCAGUGUAGCGGUGAAAUGCGUAGAUAUUGGGAAGAACACCGGUGGCGAAGGCGCCUUUCUGGACUGUGUCUGACGCUGAGAUGCGAAAGCCAGGGUAGCGAACGGG
rnacentral:rRNA from 1 species